rnacentral:rRNA from 1 species
CCUACGGGAGGCUGCAGUGAGGAAUAUUGGUCAAUGGACGAGAGUCUGAACCAGCCAAGUAGCGUGAAGGAUGACUGCCCUAUGGGUUGUAAACUUCUUUUAUAUGGGAAUAAAACGUUCCACGUGUGGGAUUUUGUAUGUACCAUAUGAAUAAGGAUCGGCUAACUCCGUGCCAGCAGCCGCGGUAAUACGGAGGAUCCGAGCGUUAUCCGGAUUUAUUGGGUUUAAAGGGAGCGUAGGUGGAUUGUUAAGUCAGUUGUGAAAGUUUGCGGCUCAACCGUAAAAUUGCAGUUGAAACUGGCAGUCUUGAGUACAGUAGAGGUGGGCGGAAUUCGUGGUGUAGCGGUGAAAUGCUUAGAUAUCACGAAGAACUCCGAUUGCGAAGGCAGUUCACUGGACUGCAACUGACACUGAGGAUCGAAAGUGUGGGUAUCAAACAGGAUUAGAUACCCUUGUAGUC